CCUACGGGCGGCAGCAGUGAGGAAUAUUGGUCAAUGGGCGCGAGCCUGAACCAGCCAAGUCGCGUGAGGGAUGACGGCCCUACGGGUUGUCAACCUCUUUUGCCGGGGAGCAACGGGCGCCACGUGUGGCGCCACUGAGAGUACCCGGAGAAAAAGCAUCGGCUAACUCCGUGCCAGCAGCCGCGGUAAUACGGGGGAUGCGAGCGUUAUCCGGAUUUAGUGGGUUUAAAGGGUGCGUAGGCGGAUCGUUAAGUCAGUGGUCAAAUUGAGGGGCUCAACCCCUUCCCGCCAUUGAAACUGCAGCUCUUGAGUGAAGUAGAGGCAGGCGGAAUUCCUAGUGUAGCGGUGAAAUGCGUAGAUAUUAGGAGGAACACCAGUGGCGAAGGCGGCCUGCUGGGCUUUUACUGACGCUGAGGCUCGAAAGUGUGGGGAGCAAACAGGAUUAGAUACCCCAGUAGUC
rnacentral:rRNA from 1 species